rnacentral:rRNA from 1 species
GAUGAACGCUGGCGGCGUGCCUAAUACAUGCAAGUCGAGCGAACGGACGAGAAGCUUGCUUCUCUGAUGUUAGCGGCGGACGGGUGAGUAACACGUGGAUAACCUACCUAUAAGACUGGGAUAACUUCGGGAAACCGGAGCUAAUACCGGAUAAUAUUUUGAACCGCAUGGUUCAAAAGUGAAAGACGGUCUUGCUGUCACUUAUAGAUGGAUCCGCGCUGCAUUAGCUAGUUGGUAAGGUAACGGCUUACCAAGGCAACGAUGCAUAGCCGACCUGAGAGGGUGAUCGGCCAAACUGGAACUGAGACACGGUCCAGACUCCUACGGGAGGCAGCAGUAGGGAAUAUUCCGCAAUGGGCGAAAGCCUGACGGAGCAACGCCGCGUGAGUGAUGAAGGUCUUCGGAUCGUAAAACUCUGUUAUUAGGGAAGAACAUAUGUGUAAGUAACUGUGCACAUCUUGACGGUACCUAAUCAGAAAGCCACGGCUAACUACGUG